GCCCCUGUAGCUCAGUGGAUAGAGCACCAGCCUUCUAAGCUGGGGGUCGAGGGUUCGAAUCCCUCCGGGGGCA
rnacentral:tRNA from 1 species